rnacentral:vault_RNA from 1 species
GGGCUGGCUAUAGCCCAGCAGUUACUUCAGUGUUUCACAAACUUCUUGUGUCUCGCCCUGCAAGGGGUUCAAUCCCACAGGCACCUCUGGCCCACUU